rnacentral:rRNA from 1 species
UGGGGAAUAUUGCACAAUGGGGGAAACCCUGAUGCAGCGACGCCGCGUGAAGGAAGAAGUAUCUCGGUAUGUAAACUUCUAUCAGCAGGGAAGAAAAUGACGGUACCUGACUAAGAAGCCCCGGCUAACUACGUGCCAGCAGCCGCGGUAAUACGUAGGGGGCAAGCGUUAUCCGGAUUUACUGGGUGUAAAGGGAGCGUAGACGGAAGAGCAAGUCUGAUGUGAAAGGCUGGGGCUUAACCCCAGGACUGCAUUGGAAACUGUUUUUCUAGAGUGCCGGAGAGGUAAGCGGAAUUCCUAGUGUAGCGGUGAAAUGCGUAGAUAUUAGGAGGAACACCAGUGGCGAAGGCGGCUUACUGGACGGUAACUGACGUUGAGGCUCGAAAGCGUGGGGAGCAAACAG